AACAGGAAAUAUUUCAGCCAAGUUAAAUUAAUGUAAAGAACUAAAGAAAAUCAAAGACACGAAAUAUAAACAAUGAUAAAUACUGAAAACUGAUACUUAGAUUUAAUUACUGAUAAUGAUAGUGAAGUUAAUUUUAAUGAUUAGUCUGAAAAUUUAAAACAAGUGAAUAAAUACUAGGAAGGACAAAAGAAUGAGGGUGCCAACUGAAAUAGCAAACAUCUCUUUCUAAAAUCAUCAUAGUCACUGCACUGCCAGGGUCUUCACUGGCCAUGUUACCCCAGCUGGGACCUUGGACUCACACAAUGUUGCUAUGUUUCUCUUUCCUUUUGUUCUCUCCAUCUCUUCUCCUCAGCCUCCAAUUCCUGGACCACCCCAAGAAUUUCAAAUUCUUGCCUUUCUUAAGCAAACUUACUAAGAUCCCCCUAUCCAAAUUCCAGGUUUAUCUUUAUAGAUCCCCAAAUCAAGGUCCUCAGCUAAAGGAAAGUACCUUCUGAGAACUUUUCUUUAACAGGAUUCACUCUUACAAGAGGAUGCUAAAGUUCCAGGUAACUGUUCUUUUGUGCAGAUUAAUUCCUGUUUCCAACAUUGACAGUCUCACUGUUCCCAUGAUAAUCUUCAUUUUCUCUUUGUAUGUCUAAAUUUUCCCCUUCAUUUGGAGAUAUAUUAUUUGGCACUUGAAGAUUACUUCAUGACUGAUGUUUAUCUUGUUUUCUUCAUCGCAUUUAAUGCCUUUUCUUCAGAAUUAUGUUUUGGCAUAUAUCUGCCAUAACUGGCUUCUUUGCAUUUGCC
rnacentral:lncRNA from 1 species